AAACGAACAUGAAAUUCAAAGGGAAACAGGAACAAUAAUCAUUACCAGCUGCCGUGUUAAGCAUUGUGAAAACGCUCACGAUUCACAGAAAAAUCCAUGCUGUUCUUUGAAGGCAUUCAAGCCUUAAUAGCUAGCUGGAUGAAUGUUUAACUUCUAGGCCAGGCACUACUCUGUCCCAACAAUAAGCCCUGUACAUUGGGAAAGGUGCCGAAGACAUGAACUUUGGUCUUCUCUGCAAUCCCUCUGGAGCAUUCAGUGACAACGUCGACUUUGAAGUUGCACUGACCUGGCCAGCCCUGCCACUUACCAGGUUGGCAUCUGGCAUCUUUCUUGACAUACGUAGCAGUUGCUUUUUGACAGCUUGCUUCUGGAGUGAAUGAAUAAAUUAAUAAAUUUAUUCAUUUGAUAUUCAGUGACAUGUGAUAUUCAGUGAUCCAUUUUGCAGAUUGAGCCUCGUAUUUCAUAUCUGCCCCUGGCCUAAUGUUUGCUUACAGAAUGAGCUCAAUGAAUAUUGUUAAAUAACACUAACAAAGUUGACCUUAGAAUUGGAGUGCCCGGGUUAGAACCUUGCUGGUACCACCUGCUUACUGCAUGCUUCUGAUGUGAGUUCAGGAGAAGCCACUGGCAAGGACAGCAAAGAACAGGAGAACACUCUAGCUUCCCUGAUAGCAUUCAAGGUGCUGUCCAAACUGACUGUGAUGGCACCCUCCAGACAGACAGCGAUGCCACAUGUUCAAGAUGGCAGAAUCACUAACAGCUUCAAUUCCUGAAUGACUGCAGAGCAAAAUUUCUUACCCGCAACAUACACUCUAUUUUCAGCCUCCCUGGACUGUUACAUAAUGAUACAUAAAAAUAUUUCUUGUGUUGAGGCAUCCCAAAUUUGAUCUAUUUGUCAUCACAGUUUAUCCUACGAAUAUAUUUCUGAUCCAAAUAAUGCUAGAUUCAUGAGAGUUUAUAGUCCAGAGAUUUUUUUUUUUUUUUUUUUUUGAGACAGAAUCUCACUGUCUGCCAGGCUGGGGUGCAGUGGCAUAAUCUUAGCUCACUGCAACCUCCGCCUCCUGGGCUCAAGUGAUCCUCCCUCCUUAGCCUCCAUGAAUAGCUGGGACCACAGGUGUGCACCACCCCACCCAGCUAAUUAUUUUGUAUUUUUUGCAGAGACGGGGUUUCACCACAUUGCCCAAGCUGGUCUCAAACUCCUAGACUUAAGGGAUCUUCCCGCCUUGGCCUCCCAAAAUGCUGAAAUUACAUGUGUUAGCCAUAGUAAUAGUUCCUAGCCAUAGUCCAGAGAUAUUUUAAAAACUUUAGUGUGAGUUAUUUCUCUUUGCUAUAAUUCUCUCAUGCAUUUUGAAAACCUUUUCUGCCAUACAGUGGUUUUUGGGAAGUCCUUUUGGACAGACAUAUCACAGGAUGGAGAAACUAAAAAGAGAGAGAAUGCAUUAAAGAAAAAAUAGUACUUCAUAUUUCAGAAAUUACAAAAGGUUGUCAUGCCCCACAGCAUGGUGGGCAGUCAUUUGUAACCCACAGAACAUUGAGUUUCUAAAAUUUGAGUGUUUUUUAACUUACGAAGGCCAACUUUACUGAUGAAGUGGUUACCCCAAAUAUGUGAAAUCCAUAUUUCAAGCACAAUAGCAGGAAAUCGGAAAUGGGUAGGUAUAUUUCUGACUGUCAAAGAGUACAAAGUAAAGAGGGGCCCCUGAAGAGUGACACUACUGGAAAA
rnacentral:lncRNA from 1 species